rnacentral:lncRNA from 1 species
CCUGAGACGGACGGCGGGUGCUUUUCUUUACCUUUUACCAGCUGCAGCAGUGCCACCACGUGGCAAAAUAGUAAAUGAUGUUUGCAGUCUGUUGAGCCUGCCUACAUAGAAAUUACACAAUUCUUGAACAAAUUUUUUUAAUUGAGGAUGAGAAAAGAUUCAUAUUAUUUCAAAAUUUGUACUACACAAAAUGAGACUUUUAAGUCUGUUUGAAAUUAGCAAAAUUUGCAUUUUCUUAAAUGGAGACCACAUUGUGUGAAGGUCUCCAUCCUGCCCUCUGAGCAGCCUCUAGUAACUCCUGGGAGUCAGCCUCAGAGGUGAACUCUUGCAAGUGGGACAGACACCCGCUAAAGUUCUACAGCAUCCUUCAUGAGGUCUUCCCUGACGCCUCUUAUGCUGUGCUCCCCUAAAAGCGGGUCUGAUGUAGAUUUCACUCAUUAGCAAGCAUUCAUUGAGUACAUGCAUGGUGCUCACCCUGUUGUAGGCACCGCAGAGACAGCAGUAAACAAAUCGGACACAGUUUCAGUCCUCACUUAUUACACUCUUAUUGUGACAUAUCUGUCUCCUUUAUGCCCUGUAAAUCUAGCGACAGGGACCUGUCUCAUUCCAUCUUCACUGGAGCCAUACCUUCUACCCAUUGAAUUCCCCAGUAACCAUUUCAGAACUCAAUUGAUUCGCGAUGACUUGACGCUCAGCCUGCAGUACUGCCAGAACAGGACGAGGCAAAGGCAAUCCCCCUCCUCCCUUCCUCUCAGCUGAUGAUUUCACUUUCUAAUCCUAGACUGUAAACAGACCACUAAGAUCCAGGGUGAUGAGUAUCUAGAGCGGGAAAGCACAGGUUCCUAUGGAAACAGAAGCAGAGUCUCUCACUUAGGCUUGGUGGAGGAGGGAAGUCUGAAAGUCUUCUUGGAGGAAGCGCCAUCUUCAAUAAGAGCAGAAAAUUGAUUAGCCUUCAAUCAGAGGCCAGGAGGAGAGUGGGGGAAGAAGCCCACGACUGAAAAAGUGUGACAAGAUCUGAGAUUGGAAAUAAAUUCAGUGGGACUGGAGGUUGCA